UGGUUGAAGUAAAAACAGGGAAUUAAUGCUGAAGCUCUUGGGAGUAAAUCUGAAUGUAGGGGGAUUUCAAGGAAUCAGAAAAGGCCUAAGAAUGCAGUGAUGUAAGGUACUUGAAAGCAUGCAACAGAGUAAAAAGGGGAAUUUAAACAGAAUAACAGCAGCACCUGCAAUCACCAGCAAUGCAAACUUAGCUGUACUCCCAAGCUCCAGUUCAUCAUGGCUACCUUGCUACACACACCCUCUCCCCUAUUUACUUCUGUGAUUGGGAACUUACUGUUUUAAAUUGAAUUUUUGAACCAUUGUUCAACUAAACAUUCCCAGCUUUGAAAAAUCCAUCUUAGGAGCAUCUAGGUGUAAAAUCCCAAUUUUAACAUGCUAUUUGCUGCCAUUUUCCUCCGGGCUUGCACUUUCACUAUUUUCUUUUAUUUUCAACUAUUUUCAUGAUUUUCUCGAUUUUCUCAAG
rnacentral:lncRNA from 1 species